GUCAGAAACUGUACCGCAAGGAGGGCUGCUGCUCUGCUCACCCAGACGUUAUUGAUCCUAAUCGGCCGCCUAUGCUGACAUGCGUCUGGCCAAUAUUAUUUUGCGGUUGCAGUUUGGGUGAACCCUUUAAAGAAGAGACCAUCAUAUACGCAAUGACUCACGUAAGUCAUGACUCCAAUACAACACAGCCCAAGAUGAUGCAUCAGUGAAGUCUGAUGAUCAUGAAUUCGUCUUGCUUAUUUAUCAUAACAACCAUAGUCUAUGACGAUGAUAAAACAGCUACUUCGUUACAAAGAACACAGCACAAAUGUUAUGUGAGGUUAUAAACUGGCUGGCAGCCUUCAGGAAAAGGCUGACAUCCUCAUAGUUAACAAACAUGAGGACAGUAUAAGUGCUGUCAUUAUGCUGGCACAGAUUUCUAUGCAUUAGGGUCAGUUGUAAUAAAACUG